AUUGAACGCUGGCGGAAUGCUUUACACAUGCAAGUCGAGCGGCAGCGCGGGGCAACCUGGCGGCGAGCGGCGAACGGGUGAGUAAUACAUCGGAACGUACCCAGUUGUGGGGGAUAGCCCGGCGAAAGCCGGAUUAAUACCGCAUACGACCUGAGGGUGAAAGGGGGGGGAUCGCAAGACCUCUCGCAGUUGGAGCGGCCGAUGGCGGAUUAGCUAGUUGGUAGGGUAAAGGCCUACCAAGGCGACGAUCCGUAGCUGGUCUGAGAGGACGACCAGCCACACUGGAACUGAGACACGGUCCAGACUCCUACGGGAGGCAGCAGUGGGGAAUUUUGGACAAUGGGGGCAACCCUGAUCCAGCCAUUCCGCGUGAGUGAAGAAGGCCUCGGUUGUAAG
rnacentral:rRNA from 1 species